rnacentral:rRNA from 1 species
CAAUAGCGUAUAUUAACGUUGUUGCAGUUAAAAAGCUCGUAGUUGGAUUUCGGAUGGGAUUUGCCGGUCCGUCGUUACGAUGUGCACUGGCCAGUCCUAUCUUGUUGUCGGGGACUAGCUCCUUGGAUUCACUUCCUGGGACUAGGAGCUGACGAGGUUACUUUGAGUAAAUUAGAGUGUUCAAAGCAAGCCUACGCUCUGAAUACAUUAGCAUGGAAUAACACGAUAGGACUCUGGCUUAUCUUGUUGGUCUGUGAGACCAGAGUAAUGAUUAAGAGGGACAGUCGGGGACAUUCGUAUUUCAUUGUCAGAGGUGAAAUUCUUGGAUUUAUGAAAGACGAACUUCUGCGAAAGCAUUUGUCAAGGAUGUUUUCAUUAA